AGUCUCAAAGACCAGAAUGUGUAAGGUUUGUAUCUAGCCACUGGAGCCAAACAAAAUCAAAUUAGAUUGCAGGAGCACUUUUAAAUUGUGAUCAUGAUUAACCACUGUGGUAAAAUCCAAAGGAAGUGGUGAGCUCUCCACAUCUCACUAUUUCUUGUAUCAGGGGUAGGUGCUUUUCUGGAGAAUGUGAUUUCAGUAAGCAAAUUAGAAGCUAAGUGCAGGUCAGAGUGAAACUCAGCAGUCUGUAUUAUUCAAAAGACCAGAUGAUGUAAUGGUCUCUUUUGGCCUCAAAGUUCUGUUUGUUAAUCUAUGAAUCCCUUCUUUCAGCUCCAAUUGCUCUGUGCAUAAACAGUGCCUGCUGCUAACAGUAUCAGUGUUUACACAGUUGCAUUAACAUCACCUCCAUAUCAUUUUCACUGCCAUCCAGGGCAGCAUUAACGAUAUAAACGCUGUCUGUCUCCUUUCGCACUCAAACCAGGAGAUAAAUACAUGCCACAGGACUCUCCAGCGAAACUCUGGGAAGUGUGAGGGCUCGUGGCUGACGGGGCGGUGCUCCUGGAAGCCCAAUGGCCAUUGAUCCAUUCUGCUUUGGAUGGCGGAAGGCGGGAUGAAUCUUUCCUCGGCCCUCAGAGGGCUCACAGGCAAGGCCUCGCCGGAGGCUGUGCCCACAGGCCACCAGGGGGCAGCGCCGCGCCGCGCCGGACAAGGCAGGGCCCGAGGCCGGAGCCGGUGCCGGGGCCUGUAGCCGGGCCGGGGCCUGGCGUGGUGUGGGCCCGCAGCGCGACCCGGGUGCUGCGGGGGUUCGGAGGGGCCGGGCCCGCGCUGUUCCGCGCCUCCUUCUCUUUAACAGAAGGGUGUAUUAUCAAAAUAUUAACUUCAGCCUUCUACAUGAAUUGAGUUGAAAGUAAAUCUGCCCAAGUCUCAAUGAAUGUUGCAAAAGGAACCAUGUCUACUCACACCAUGUGAAGGGCUAGCCCGCUACAUAAGGAAAAUACAGUGCAAAUACAGUGUACAAGAAAAUACUGUUGAAGACUGUGCUGGACUUGCUGCUGACUACAUCAAAAUAUUUCAGAGAUUUGACUACUAUCAACAGUAUUUUAGGUCAUUUCACUGUAACAGGUGGAUAGAAAAUGCAUUAUUAA